ACCGCGUGAUCUCACUGCGCCCGCCGCGGCCGUAUCGAGAAUGUCACCGAUACAUUCAAUACUUUAUUCGUGCCUGGAGAACGCGACACGGCACACUGUCAAAUAAAUACACCACGAUAUAUAUCAACUGUCGUUCUGUGAUCCUACAAGAGCAAUUUAAACGAUGAAUUUUUGUUUGUUUUUCGUUUUGUUUGGAUAUGUGUUCGCGUGGAGUGCGGGGAUGCUGUACCGGCGUGAUUCCGAUCAUUUGCUGAAGCCUGAUUUGCUGCCCGUAUCGUCGACAGUGAUGCCCCUGCCAUAUUACUCCGUCUACGGAUACGAGAAGAAACUGCUCCGAGAUAAAUACAAGAAAAAGCCUGAGGGAAGCGUUUCGCUAGUCACAAAACACCACGAAUAAUACACUUACUUGGCCAUUUGGGAUAUUGAAACGUUAUAGAUUUAUGUGAAAAAUAAGACCGCGUUCAGAUGAGGCACGCAUUAAACGCGGCGCUUAAAAAAAUGUCUAUUGAUUGUAUUUUGAUCGUUCAAAUGCUAACACGCGCUCUUAAAAACAGUUUUACUGUCUGAUUUCUUAGAUUACUAAUAACGUUCAUGAUUGAUAUGACAUCACAUUUUUUAUUAAUACGUAAUAUAGAGACGGACAAUAAAUUCUAUAGUUAGACAGCAAAAGCAGAGAUAGUUCCGUUUCAAUGAAUUCUCAAACUUAAGCUUAUGCACCUAAGGUUUUUAAACAAACGGAAUGCUAACAUCGUUCUUUAACGCAAGAUGGAUAAUAAACACAUACUGCAGUUAGAAAUACAUGCCUCCGUAUUCAUUUGGGAACAAGCGCUUAGUAGGAGUUUGACGGAACUUUCUAGUAUUUCCAAUGGUCAUAAGUAAUAUCAUAUCUUUGAAUUUGUAGUUUCCAUUUUAUUCCUUUCAAUUCCCAAAGGCUGGCUUUAUUAAGAAAAAUAAUUUUGAUGUUGCCAUAUGUAAAAGUUUAUUUUCAUUCGAUUGACUUACAAGCUUUGUUAGGCGACAUUCCAUUUAUUUCCAUAAACGACCAGAAUUUACAUUAAUUUAUGGAAUGUCCCUAACUUCGCUAGUUUACGAGUUACCAUGACAAGCGACUAAUACAAUUGUAAAUAUUUAUUUUAUAUUCUAUUUGUUAUUGUUGCUUCCAAAGAAAUAUAAAUAUUUAUAAAUGGGAU